UACGUAGGGCGCAAGCGUUGUCCGGAAUUAUUGGGCGUAAAGAGCUCGUAGGCGGCCUGUUGCGUCCGCUGUGAAAUCCCGGGGCUUAACCCCGGGUCUGCAGUGGAUACGGGCAGGCUAGAGGUAGGUAGGGGAGAAUGGAAUUCCUGGUGUAGCGGUGAAAUGCGCAGAUAUCAGGAGGAACACCGGUGGCGAAGGCGGUUCUCUGGGCCUUACCUGACACUGAGGAGCGAAAGCGUGGGGAGCGAACAGG
rnacentral:rRNA from 1 species